rnacentral:misc_RNA from 1 species
GUGAAUCAUCGAAUCUUUGAACGCAUAUUGCGCUCUUUGGUAUUCCGAAGAGCAUGCUUGUUUGAGUAUCAGUAAACACCUCAAAGCUUUUGGAUUUUUUUUGAAAGCUUUGGACUUGAGCAAUCCCAACACCAAUCUUUUUCAGAUCGGCGGCGGGUUGCUUGAAAUGCAGGUGCAGCUGGACUUUCUCCUGAGCUAAAAGCAUAUUCAUUUAGUCCCGUCAAACGGAUUAUUACUUUUGCUGCAGCUAACAUAAAGGGAGUUUGACCGCAUUGGCUGACUGAUGCAGGAUUUUACAAGGGUCGGCAACGAUUCUUGUUAAACUCGAUCUCAAAUCAAGUAAGACUACCCGCUGAACUUAAGCAUAUCAAUAAGCGGAGGA